UACAGAGGGUGCAAGCGUUGUUCGGAAUUAUUGGGCGUAAAGCGCGUGUAGGCGGCUUUGCAAGUCGGGUGUGAAAGCCCUCAGCUUAACUGAGGAAGUGCGCCCGAAACUGCUUAGCUUGAGUACCGGAGAGGAUGGCGGAAUUCCCGAAGUAGAGGUGAAAUUCGUAGAUAUCGGGAGGAACACCAGUGGCGAAGGCGACUACCUGGCCUGUUCUUGACGCUGAGGCGCGAAAGCUAGGGGAGCAAACGGG
rnacentral:rRNA from 1 species